CAAACAAGAAAGAAGUUAAAAC
rnacentral:snRNA from 1 species